AUGCUGCUCUCCAGUCUGCUCUGGGUGUUCCUGGCCUUCACCAUCUCUGGAUCUGGUGUGGCCCAGAAAGUUACUCAAGACCAGCCAGUCAUAAACAGUCAAGUGGGGAAGAUAGUCACCCUUAACUGUCAAUAUGAAACCAGUAGGAAUGUGCAUGACUACAGCAUUUUUUGGUACAACCAGCUUCCCAGUGGACAGAUGACUUACCUCAUUCGUCAGUAUUCAGAAGACGAGAAUGAAAGGGAUGGCCGCUACUCUGUAAACUUCCAGAAAGCACAUAAAUCCAUCAGCCUCACGAUUACAUUCUUAAAACUGGAACAUUCUGCAAAGUAUUUCUGUGCUCUCUGGGAACUCAGUGUUUGA